rnacentral:rRNA from 1 species
AGAGUUUGAUCCUGGCUCAGGAUGAACGCUAGCGGCAGGCUUAACACAUGCAAGUCGAGGGGUAGAAGGCCUCGGCCUUUGAGACCGGCGCACGGGUGCGUAACGCGUAUGCAAUCUACCUUUUACAGGGGGAUAGCCCAGAGAAAUUUGGAUUAAUACCCCAUAGUAUUAUUGAAUGGCAUCAUUUAAUAAUUAAAGUCACAACGGUAAAAGAUGAGCAUGCGUCCCAUUAGCUAGUUGGUAUGGUAACGGCAUACCAAGGCAAUGAUGGGUAGGGGUCCUGAGAGGGAGAUCCCCCACACUGGUACUGAGACACGGACCAGACUCCUACGGGAGGCAGCAGUGAGGAAUAUUGGACAAUGGGCGCAAGCCUGAUCCAGCCAUGCCGCGUGCAGGAUGACGGUCCUAUGGAUUGUAAACUGCUUUUAUACAGGAAGAAACCCCUUUACGUGUAGAGGAUUGACGGUACUGUAGGAAUAAGGAUCGGCUAACUCCGUGCCAGCAGCCGCGGUAAUACGGAGGAUCCAAGCGUUAUCCGGAAUCAUUGGGUUUAAAGGGUCCGUAGGCGGCCUUAUAAGUCAGUGGUGAAAUCUCACGGCUCAACCGUGAAAUGGCCAUUGAUACUGUAGGGCUUGAAUUACUGUGAAGUAACUAGAAUAUGUAGUGUAGCGGUGAAAUGCGUAGA